rnacentral:lncRNA from 1 species
CUUAUGAUAAGCUCUCACAUGGAAAUGAUGAAUAGUUGCUCUGCCAUGACUAGUUCUCAAAAUUGAAAUCUAUCUCAAGUUUAGGCAUGACUGUUAUUAAUUAAGAUUUGCUCUAAACCUGAACUUGUGGGAAGAGUACUUGAUCUAAAGUCUAAGUUGUUAACGGAUAUGAUAAGGGAAGGUUGAGCUGCUGUUUAUCUGUUCCUAGAGAUGCUAGAAUUCUAGAGAAUUUUAUCUUUAAAAAUCUUUAAAAUGUUGCAUGAUGAGUUCCUGUAUGAUGAGAGUUUAAAAUCCUACCACAGCCACAUAUACAUGCUUAUUAGACUAUGAACCAUACAUUUACUUUUUACUGCUUAUGAGCAUUGAGUGUGGUCAAGCUGUGUAGACCCUUAGGAGCUUGUCAUGUGGUUAAAAUCAAGAUUCACUUGCACGUUCACUCAUACAUGCUGCUUAUACUCCGGAAGUACGCAUCCACAUACAUCCACUCAUUUCCAUAUCCAGAUUCACCCAAAAUUAUUCUACUCCUAUCUAGGAGAGAAUAGCCAAAAACAUUAUCCUAUCCCUGUUAUUCCCCGUGAAAUAAAUGCUCGAGAUAUUUUGGUUACUACCACUUGCUACAUUAUUCCAGGAGGGUGAGUGCUCUAAAAAAAGAGGUGAAUAUGAGGAAAUAAAAAGGGGCAAGUGCCCGGAACCUCGAAAGAAAAGAAAAAGUGAGACGAGAGGUAAAAAUGGACAAGUGUCCGACAAUAGAAUUAGGGGUACAAGAUACCCACCUAAGAGAAAAGAAAAAUAAAAUAUAGAGCAUCUCAUUCCCUCAAAAAACUCAAGUGCAAGGAAGGUAUGUACCCCUCAAAAGAGCAAAAGUAGAAUUAGACUUUUACCAUUAUUUUCACCAUUAUCACCAUUCAUUCGCCACACAUGCACAUCUUGAUUUGACUUAUUGACUUGUUCUUCUGGAUCCAUGGUUUGACUAUGCAAUAAAUGUCUUGUAAGUAUGUAUUAGCUGUCUCCCACCUAUGAGCUUCAGAUAUCAAAACCUUAUUAGAGUAGGGUGAGAGAGAAGGCAAUGCCACUAUGCCUCAUACCAAAAAUACCACAUACUUUGAGAUAAGGCAUACACCAUUACUGCCUUGGUAAGGAUCC